CAUUUAGGAAAUUUGUGACUAAUUACUUUGUUGCCAACUUGUACGUUAAAACUGUCCGUUCGUGCAUGUGAUUUCCAGUCGUGUGCAUAUGGCAGAUUAAGCUGUCUAAAUUCAUUUUGUGUACUUCUUGCAUUGCAAAGUAGCCUCGUAUAGUUCUUUUAUUCCACAAGAUUUUAACAUUUAGUCUUAAACAUGUGCGCGAGGUUGCCUGACAUUUCGACUGCACCGGGAGAGCGUUUCCCCCACCCGGUUGUACAUUGAACACAAGAGAGAGUCGUCUUUCCUGGGCUAUAAAUUUAUUUGAAAACUGUCGACAACGUGCCUUUGCGACGCUCCGAAUAAAUAAAAGCCGAUUUUCUUCGUGCUCGGUUAGCGGCGGAAUAUCAUCUGACAUAAGCGAAAGUCGUUUACAGUUGGUGUGAAUUGUCGACAUGUCAACUUUGGCUCCUCCGAGCGCAGACGUGGUCAGGACCCGGUAAAGCAAAGGGAGGAGGCAUUUUGUAUUUGCAUGCUUGCUGGCGAAAUCGACAAAAGUGACAGCAAUUUUGAGUCCGCCGUCGGAUAUAGACUGUCACUCUGUGCUCGAAUGGCCUGUGCAAUAGUCAUUUUUACCCCUCAACUUCAAAGAAAAGCUCCACCUUUUUCUCCAUUUCUCCUUUGUUCUUCUGUAUUGUUUCACCAAUUCCUCUGGUUAACAUACUGCUGCAAGUUAGAUACAACCCCCCUCCACCCACCCCCUCUCCCCUCCUGCUUGUUGUCAUUUCACCCAUAAACUGGAUCAUCAUUUUGACAUUUCGUGACCACGCACAUUCAGCCGGACGUGGCACCAACGUUCAGCCUGUAUUGAUGUGUGUUAUCACACCAUCAUGGCUCGUUUGGGACCGUGGAGGUAGAGCAGGCGCUCCACUGUGCCUUUAAGUGGAGGAGUGCUGGAGAUUAGCUUGGUCCAGGAUCCUGGGCCCAUCUGUCAGAGAGAUGCUCCGACAGAGAGGAAGUGUUGGGCACAAGCAGGAGAACCAUCUGCUCCUCCAUAGAGGUACCCUGGCACCUCCAUGGUGCGCUGUAAAGCACGGGGAGUGGACCACACAACACCUUGCACAUCACCCACACUGUUGCCAUUGUUGUUGUGACAUUGUUACUAAACCCUAGCAAAAAGGAUGCUGGACAUCGACAUUUUUGCACGCUCCCAGGUCAGAGACUUGCAACCCCAGACUUGCACACUCAUUGCGUGAUGCUCUGGAUGCAGGCUAAAUGCGAAAUUUUCUGUUGAAUCUGUGUUUAUACACAAGUCGACCGAGCGUGCUUGCACUUUUCAUGCAAUGCCCUGCUCCACAGUUUCCCAGAGUCCCACGGGGAAUUACCCAAUACAAUCACGGCCACCUGAACGGCUCAGUGAAGCACUUGAUGUUAAAGUGCUUGAUGUAAAUGUUAAAUGAAUAAUAUCUUCCUUGUAGCUGCUUCCAUUUCUCUCAUCACACAUUUGUGUUUUAAUUAUUGGGAAGUACAUUUCAUUAUUACCUUUUGUGGGACUGUUUCCCUCUGUUGUGUCCCAACGUGCUUCAAGAGUGUGUGUGUGUGUGUGUCUGCUGUCAAGCUGCUGUUUCAUCUCGGAGAUGUUUUAGCAUUCUGAUGUUGAAUGUCUCCUUGCUAUAAACUGUGGUUAAUGAAGUGUUUCAGUGUGCUAUAAUUAGCCUCUGUCUUGGGUUUCUGACUUCAUUUCACACGUUUGUCAGAUUAUAAUUAGUCACACUUGACACUAAUUGGAUGUCGCUCCUGUGGACCAGUUUGACCUUUUUUUUGUAUUAAGAUGAUUCACUUUAGGGAAAUGAAACGCUGGUUUGACUUUGUUGUAGAGAUGUGGCAGAUGAAGCCGCAGUGUGCAAGCCUGUGCACGUCUGUGUGUGAGGUCUGUCCCUCCUAUGAGCAUGGGGGUGGGGGUUGGGGGGGGGACAGUAAUCUCCAGAAUCUGCUGAUUAUUAAAAUGGAGUCUGGAAUAUUUGAUUAAUAAAGAAGCUCAUAAAGCUGCUCAUUAAAAUUUUAGCCACAGCUGGAGCUUUCUUUGGGCCAGACACAUCUUCCAGCCACAGCUCUCCUGACGUUACAUCGGCGAGAUCCUUCCCCCCCGUUCAUCACUGGCUACCUUGACGCUGGUGUUGAGUAGACUUUGGGUGAGUCAGGCCUGCUGUUUAUUGGCACUGCAGUGUGGAGGUGUAUGGUCUGGUUUUACUCCUGCCCUCAACCAGACUGUGUUGUUCUGAUUGGUUGUAAUCAGAGGUUGUUGUCAGGAUGCAGUCACUCUGUAGGCCCUCCUCCUCCUCCUCCUCAUCCUCAUCCUCAUCCUCCUCCCCCUCUCUUGUUAUGUGGUAGCUCUAGCUUCCUGUGAAGGAGCAGUGCACCUGCAAAUUGAAGAAACCUCCUGAAUAGAGACUAAAGUUGUGUUUUUUGGAUCACAUUUAUUCUUUCUCAUUAAUUUCAAGUCGGCGAUCUCUUGACAAUUUUUUUUAAGGAGACGCUGGAGUUUUGUCAUGACUGCAGAGCACUUUGCCUGUGCAAAGCCGCCCUCCUGCAAACUAUAUUUUGUCGUCAGAUAUGCAAAAUGAGUGUUGACACAUGCUCACAUUACGGACGGGGCCAUGUGACACGGCGAACCGUUGACAGGAACAUGCUGAUAGCGGAGGCCCACUGGCCACAAGAUUUGCUUUUGUUCCUCGCCCUCAUACACACACUCACCUUCUCUGCUCAACUGGAAGAUAUGCAGGAUGUGUAACACAUACCUCUGAGGCACCUUUUUGAGCCCUGCAAAGCACACAAGUGUUUCUAGUUUGGUUUGAUUUCACACACUCUUUUAAACAGAGCUCGACUUUAAAGGAUAAUUCUGGUUUAUUCACAGCUUGGGUUAUUUUUGUAGUUUCGUUUCUUUUAGUUUUGGUAGAACUGGAUUCGCAAAAGUAACUGCUGAGAUCUGGGAACAUGGGAAAAUAGUCCAGUGGUUAAAGAAAUGAGCAGUGAAGCAAUCAACUAGUUUGUACAUAAGCCAAUAGUUAGCCAGACUAUCUUAAAUAUAUAUAUAAUUUGAGUUGCUUAAGAUGAUUAACAUAUUAGAAAAGCAGGAAUAUAUAUAUACUUUUUUUCAACCUGUUGGCUUCACUGCAACCGGUUAUGACAGUUCGCAAUUAGACAUUGCUCUGGGGGUCACAAGCCAAAAUGGUUGAGAACAGUUGAUCUAAACCGCUUAAUUUAGAGGUGAAACUGAAAGUGAGUGCAUUUGAAAUAUUGGUCCCUCAUUGUACAGGAAACUGUGUGCUCACAUUUAUAAUAAAUAUGGUAGGUCAAAGUUGUACCAGGAAGCUGGUUUGUAAACUGCGCCGGAUGUUUACAACAGAUAUUUGAGUAAUAGUUUUAACAGUUUGUUGGUAUGAUUGCAGAUUGCUUGUGGGUUGUUCUCUCCUUUUUUAGUGAUGUUGCUCAAAUCUUAGAAAUUGAAUGAGUACAAAGUUAUCAUAAUGGAUAGGGAUGGUGGCCAAAGCUGUAAAUAAAAAUAGUCCAGAGUUGUAAUAAACUGGAAUUAUUCUUAAACUACUUUUGUGUCUUUGAUUUCAGAGGACAGUGGAAAAUCAGAAACAUGUGCCUCAGUGCAGACAUGAGGGGAAAACUAGUGAGUGCUAAUGUAGGGGUGGCGUGUAUGUGUCAGUGUGUCUCUCACUCCCUUCUGUGGCGUUGGUGGUUGUGUAGGUCUUGUCACUCAUUAUAAGUGUCAGAAAGAUCUCUCACCUAAGCCGGUGCACCUGCUGCCUGAGGUGGUGGGGGCCACUGAUGGAGAGCUUGUCGUUGCACAGACAGCUAGCACCCACCAGAAGACUUUUUUUACCACUUAUUUGUUCUCUCUCACCCCCCCCCAACCCCUUCAUGUCUCACUCGAGACGGAUUGGCGUCCUCUCUUGCUUUGCUCACCUCGAGUAAUCUAGGGAGUUUCUUGGCACUCCGCGGCGUGCGUACCCUUUGAGCACGCACUCGUUGCUGACUCCAGGGAGCAUUUACAGCUGGUGUGCUUUUAGUAAACUGAUAUGUCACACUGCGUCCCAUCGGAGCUGUGCGUUGAUAUCAAGGAAUGGCAGCGAAGCCAACAGAAGAAAUCCUUGAUUGAAGCUACCGGUGAAGAUGUCAAACCUCUGAACUUGCAGCUUUAUGGCCAAUCUGUUUUUGAGUAUAUCCCUGUGUGAUUCCUCUUGUAAAAAUUCCUGCAUCUUAAAGGGCGAGAGAGCGCCAGUACAUGUCAGAAAUUGGUGUUUUCUUGGCUCAGUGAGCACUAAGAAACACUCCAGAUGACAUCUACAAGGCGGAGAGUAGCAGUGAUAUGAUCAUUAAUGGCAAUAAAGACAAUAUCUUGGUGUGAUUGUAACGCCGGGAUGGAAGAACAAAGCCUAUAGUUAUUAGUCAUGAUCUGCUUGUUUUUGCUUUCAACCUUCUUUCUCACCAUCAUGUCUUUUUUUUGAGCCCCCUGUCUUGUUUUUAUUUCUCUCUUUGUCUUUCUCACACCUUUCCAGCCCCCCCCCCGCUCUGUACCUGUGACUGUUUACUCUUCUCAGUCACACGGGCACGAAGCCUCUCUUUCCCAGAAGCCUCACACAGACACACACACACACUGUGGCUUUGUCUGAACCGCAGAGGCAGUGGGCUUUUGUGCGUUAGGACAGCAUUCCUAACACGGCUGUUCAUCUGCUGGACGUCGUCUCGUCAAGGGGGUUAGCAGGGUGAAGACGAAACAGAAGGAGGGCAGAGCGGGCUCUGGAAGACGCUGACAAAUCAGGCUCCUACCUCUUCUACCUUCUAGUUUAAAAUUCCAGGCUCGACUCGCAGCCCCGCAGCUCAUUAGUUUCACUUCAAAAUGGCCGUCUUCCUAAUGUUGUAAUUGAGAACACGUGGAGGAACUUCAUUAUGCGAGUGUGGAGAUGUUCAUACUAGAAGAACCAGUAGCUGUUAUU